AAAAUGGGGAACCUGCGUUAGUCCCAACACUUGUCAGUGUCCAAGCAAUCAAGCAGGACCUCUCUGUAAGCAACCUCUUUGUAGUCCACCGUGUAUUAAUGGUGGUAGAUGUACCUCGUCUCACACUUGUGACUGUUCUAAUACUAGGUAUAGAGGACAAACUUGCGGAACACCUGUCUGUUCUCCAAAUUGUUUGAACAAAGGCAUUUGUGUAGCUCCCGACAAGUGUUCCUGUCCAGAAACAUACAAAGGAAAUAUAUGUCAAACCCGUAUGUACAUAUAAUGUUCAAG